AUGGGUGAAGCAUUGUUGGAGAAGUUUGACAGAUAUUGGGAAGAAAAGAACAAUUCCAUGGUGAUCGCAACCAUCUUUGAUCCUAGGUACAAGAUGAGUUACAUAGAGUGGGCCUUUGGAGAACUAUAUGGAGAAGGAAGUGUGAGGUUUAGGACUGAGAUAAAAAUCGUGGAGAAAGAGUUGGCGACCUUGUAUGAAAAAUGUGUUGCUCAAGAUAAGCAAGCUGGAAAUGGAGAAAGUUCAUCUUCCUUUGCAAACAUUCCUAGUAUCCCGGUUCAAGCUGGGUACGAGUCCUUCUUAUCGUCCCGUUCAACAAGAAUAUCAAAGAGUGAGUUGAGGAACUACUUAGAGGAUGAGGUUGCCCUCGCAACAAGGCUCUUGAUCUUCUUAGUUGGUGGAAAGACAAUGCUCCUAGGUACCCAAUUAUGGCCAAGAUAG
rnacentral:rRNA from 1 species